CGGCCAUCAUGCCGAAACGCUGGUUCUCGUAAGAUCACCGAAAUUAAUCAAUGUAAAGCCUGGUCAAUAUCUAGAUGGGUGACCGCUUGGGAAUAUCAGGUACUGUAA